GCUCCUAUGGCUCAGUUGGUAGAGCGCAUGACUAGUACUGAAUAAGUCGAUCAUGAGGUCCGCGGUUCAAAUCCGCGUGGGAGCA